rnacentral:rRNA from 1 species
CCUACGGGGUGCAGCAGUGGGGAAUAUUGGGCAAUGGAGGAAACUCUGACCCAGCAACGCCGCGUGAAUGAUGAAGGUCUUCGGAUUGUAAAGUUCUGUUCUAAGGGAAGAAGAAAGUGACGGUACCUGAGGAAUAAGCCUCGGCUAACUACGUGCCAGCAGCCGCGGUAAUACGUAGGAGGCGAGCGUUAUCCGGAAUGACUGGGCGUAAAGGGGGCGGAGGUGGGUUGGCAAGGUAGUAGCGUAACUCCAAGGCUCAACCUUGGAACUACUACUCAAACUGUUGGACUUGAGUGCAGGAGGGGCAACCGGCAUUCCUCGUGUAGCGGUGU